rnacentral:lncRNA from 1 species
ACCGGCCGCCAUGAUGGUAUAAAAGGAAGUGAAGAUCUCUGCUGCUGUCAUUCCAACAGAUCUCUGAGCUGCUGCAGCAGCUGCGACGAAGCUGCCGCUCAAACUAAAGGUUUUAAGAUGUGUCGUGCAGACGAGUCACCUCUGACCUGCGGCCUGACGUCCUCUCAAGGUCCUGACGGGAUUAAGACCUUCAGGGACACCGUACAGAAGGCGCGUCUCGAUGGAUGAAGGACGACGUCGCCAAGAAGCAGAAGUGCUUCUGCUCCACUGAACACAGGGCCGUCUGUGCUGAGCUCGUGUCCUCCAGUCGUUGGUUGUCACCUGGUGAACGUGACGCUGCGUCAAUGACCUCCUGCAGAGAUGCUCGCCGCCUGUGCAGGUCGACUGUAAACCAGGAGCUGCUCCGAGGACCCAGAAGAUUUCUCCACGUUUCUCUUCUCAAAGAAAUAAAAAAUGAAACUGAACUCGUUGAAUUGUUUGUUGUGAUUGUGCAGCAUUAGAUGAACUCGUG